AUUGAACGCUGGCGGAAUGCUUUACACAUGCAAGUCGAACGGCAGCACGGGGCAACCUGGUGGCGAGUGGCGAACGGGUGAGUAAUACAUCGGAACGUGCCCAAUCGUGGGGGAUAACGUAGCGAAAGUUACGCUAAUACCGCAUACGAUCUACGGAUGAAAGCGGGGGAUCGCAAGACCUCGCGCGAUUGGAGCGGCCGAUGUCAGAUUAGGUAGUUGGUGGGGUAAAGGCUCACCAAGCCGACGAUCUGUAGCUGGUCUGAGAGGACGACCAGCCACACUGGGACUGAGACACGGCCCAGACUCCUACGGAGGCAGCAGUGGGGAAUUUUGGACAAUGGGCGGCAAGCCUGAUCCAGCCAUUCCGCGUGCAGGAUGAAGGCCCUCGGGUUGUAAACUGCUUUUGUACGGACGAAAAGACUUUCUCUAAUACAGGGGGCUCAUGACGGUACCGUAAGAAUAAGCACCGGCUAACUACGUGCCAGCAGCCGCGGUAA
rnacentral:rRNA from 1 species